CAAAACUGUAGCAUCUCGAGUUGAAAUAAAACUUACAAAUCUGGUUAUGUUGUGCUUAUGCACAAAGUCUUGAAAGUUUUACUGCUUAAUCAAGUAUGGUAUUGCCCAAAAGACAGUUUAAUGCAAAUCUAAUAUUGCAGUUCAAAAAUAAAAGUUCAAAGUAUAUUCAUCCCCUCAAACAGCAUUCGGUACUUUUGGUCUUUGGCUAUGCACCAUUGAAGGGUACAAGAAGAAGCUUCAACUUUAAAAUACUAAUCCUGCUUAGUGCUUACAAUGUUCUACAGAUGGACAAGUUCUUAUUGAAACCAGAAUCUGUUUUUCUGUUUGAUAACAGUUGACAGAUAUUGUGCCUAUGGUUUCAAUGAAACAUCUAUGAUGUAAAUAGUCUUUAAUAGGAUUAACUGGGUAUACUGAAAACAUUACUCCAUGCAAAUCCUAAUACAUCCCUUCUUUUUCAAGGAACAUGCCUUAAAAUGCUGGCAUCAAUUUGAAAUUAACCUUGACUAAGCAACUUCAAAGAAACGAUCAAGCGAGGGAAAGAGAAUGAGAUAAAAGGGGCGAUCAAGAAGGCUUUGAUCUCACUGUAUUAAUGCUUCCAUUAGUAAGUAAUAACCGAGCACCUCUGACAAGUUCUUCCUUAACCAUGAACAAAACAGCAGCUGCAAGAACACUUUGUGCAAUUUUUGUGCUCAUACCUUUGUAAAAGCCAUAGAACCCUUCAUACUGAAUCAUCUUGAGGAUAGCAUCCAGAGUUCCUAAUUUGAAGGAAUGAAGAAAGAAAAAAUAUAUAUAUAGACAAGUUAAAGAAACUUCAAAAUUAUGGAAAAAAGAAUUGAUUUGUCAACCACAGAUAGUUUGUGCCUUCCUUUCUUCAUAUGAGAAGUGCUAAAUCUCUGGCUAAAAUGAUUGUGAACAAAGCAUUUUUUAUAUCAUAUCCACCUCAGAGGGUGCAGUGAUCAGAUUCAUAAUGGCCAAGGAUGCAUGUUUUUAUUGCACCUUCGUUUUAGCAAAUUUCUAAUAGAAAAGGACUAUUAGAAGAAAAAUACAAUCGGUAAAUGGUGAGAUAUCCCUGUCUAACAAGCAAAAGUUAUGCUAUAGGUAAUGUCGACCUGGAACUUAGUACUUCCAUUCAUAAGAGUUGAAAAAAUUUCAAACCUUCAUAAUGGUGCUUCUUGUCUACAGUUUUAAGCUGUUUCACUUGAAGCCUCGACUGCCAAGGUAAAAAAAUGUCAAUCAGGAAGCUAAAACAGUAACCAUAGCAAGACUAAAGCAGAUCUACAGAAUUAUAUUCCUAACAUCAGUCUAUCUAUAUAGGGCUGCAAGAUUUUCACGACUAAAUUGAGGACAUUCUUUUAGCCAAAACUUCAUUUCAACAUUCAUUGUAGCGUUCCUAUUUAUUUUUCCUACAUCUCUCCCUUUACCAACCAAAUCUUAGCCAAUGCUUGGGCUAUGAUGAUUUAAUCGUAUGUCCUUAGUCCUGUUACUUCUAAGCAUAAUUUCAGCAUAUAUUUUUCUGCUAACAUUUUCAUUGGAUAGCAAAGUCAGAUGCUCUUAAGUGAUUCCCAAAGUUAUAUUUAGCUCCUCCUUUAUUCAUCUAUGCCAAAAGAAGCGGGGCUUUUGAGGGUUUGUGACCCAAGUCAAGCUUUUUGAGAGUUCAAUUGACCUAUUAGCCAUCUUUUGACUCUUAUGCCAAGGUUGCUUUUGCAAAUAAAUACUGCAUUGCUGGAUUAAGCAUUUCAUAUACCUUUACAACAAGAAGAGGAUAUGUUACAACAGUAGCCCCAAGCUUUGCCAAAGCUCCAAGAAGAAAUAUCUAGAAUAAGGCAAUGUAGAUAUUAAAAUAAGCCAAAAAGAUCAAAUGGUUAGAUGGUGCUGUGUAAAUUUUGGAAAAGGAGCUUCAAGAAUAGAAAACUAAUAGAAAGUUCUGGAGCUGAAGACUUGGGGCAUAAAAGAAAAAGCAAACCUCCAAAGCAGUGACCCUGUUACCACCCUUCUUACUCAAGGCGCGUUGUUUCUUGAGCUUCUUCAACAUGAUUUCAUAAAGCAUGAAUUGUAUGGAAGGAUUACUUACCUGUUGAGCAAAUUGCUGGACAAUCAGUGAUAAUCCUUAGCAGAUCUAAGAGUCAAUUAUCACAUACCAUGAUCAAUGUUGGGAAUACGCCUUUCCAAAAGCCACAAACUCCAGCUUCAUCAUAGACUUCUUGAAUCUGUACAAAUAUUUUCUCCAUUUAAAACCAUAAAGGGAAAGCUCUAGCACUAUGAGUCACAUGAACAAGGUAAUGCACACCUAAACCACAGACAAACUGUUUCUACAGCAAAGCUAUGUAACAAAGCUAUCAAAGUUCAGAAAACUUCCCAAACAAAACAUUCACCAAGGAAAUCCUAUAAAUUAGUGGCCCCAAUACACGAUAUAAUUAUCCACAAAUAUCACAUAUCAAGGAAUAUAAAAAAAAUAACAAUGUUCUGAACUGACAACCAACUUUUUCUAUGACAUAAUUUUCCAUUCUCCCUUUUUAUUUUCUUAUUCACCCCCACCCCCAUUAACACUUCUUUUAAUACUUGCAGAGGCAAUCGACAAUGUCUACUUUCUUGUUAAUAUUCUGCAAUCACUUCUGAAUAUCAACAAGAACAAGUCUGGCUCCAGAUUUCAAGUAUAGGUGUUUAAAUUUCAUUGCAUCAUCUUCAACAUCAGCUUCUAUGUUUGAAUUACCUUCUCUUCAAAAAUCAAUGAGUAAAGGUCUCAUAUAUUGGCAAAAUGACAAUGAAGAUCCACUUCAUUAUCCAUUUAUUGUAGCCCUUAAGAAUCAUGGAACUGCAAUUCUUGCAAAACCAUUUACCAUACAUAAAAAUAUAUGCUUAGUUAUUACACAUAUAACCAGUUUUCUAAACACCUGGAAGAAAAUGUUUCAAGCUAUGUUUUGCCAAAAAUUUUUCACACAAAAAUAACUUAUAGUUUUGCCUUUGGAAGAAAAUUCACUGAGCCUUACGCAGCUAUAUCAGGAGAAAAUUACACAAGAACGAUAAAAGUGAACAUUUGACUGAACCUACUGCAUGAUUAGUUCCAUAUGGAGGAGGCUCAAUUGCAUCUAGAACAGUUUCGUCUGUGGCAACUGACAAUGAGCUACUUGGCUGGGAUUUCUUUGACACUUUUGUAUGAGUCUGCAUUCGUGCAACAACUACCCAAAUGGGAUUUGUCAGCAGCACAUUUACACAGCCAGACAAGGCAGCCACAACAAGUGAUGAGAACAUCCCGACUGUUCCAUCACCAAAUCCUUUUCUCUUACGUUCAAAUGCAAUAGCUUCAGCUCUGUCCCUGAAUAUUUGAUAGAAAUAAUAGUAAACAC
rnacentral:misc_RNA from 1 species